AGAGUUUGAUCCUGGCUCAGAGCGAACGCUGGCGGCAGGCCUAACACAUGCAAGUCGAACGGAUCCUUCGGGAUUAGUGGCGGACGUGUGAGUAACACGUGGGAACGUGCCCUUUGGUUCGGAACAACUCAGGGAAACUUGAGCUAAUACCGGAUGUGCCCUUCGGGGGAAAGAUUUAUCGCCAUUGGAGCGGCCCGCGUCUGAUUAGCUAGUUGGUGGGGUAAAGGCCCACCAAGGCGACGAUCAGUAGCUGGUCUGAGAGGAUGAUCAGCCACAUUGGGACUGAGACACGGCCCAAACUCCUACGGGAGGCAGCAGUGGGGAAUCUUGCGCAAUGGGCGAAAGCCUGACGCAGCCAUGCCGCGUGAAUGAUGAAGGUCUUAGGAUUGUAAAAUUCUUUCACCGGGGACGAUAAUGACGGUACCCGGAGAAGAAGCCCCGGCUAACUUCGUGCCAGCAGCCGCGGUAAUACGAAGGGGGCUAGCGUUGCUCGGAAUUACUGGGCGUAAAGGGAGCGUAGGCGGACUGUUUAGUCAGAGGUGAAAGCCCAGGGCUCAACCUUGGAAUUGCCUUUGAUACUGGCAGUCUUGAGUACGGAAGAGGUAUGUGGAACUCCGAGUGUAGAGGUGAAAUUCGUAGAUAUUCGGAAGAACACCAGUGGCGAAGGCGACAUACUGGUCCGUUACUGACGCUGAGGCUCGAAAGCGUGGGGAGCAAACAGGAUUAGAUACCCUGGUAGUCCAA
rnacentral:rRNA from 1 species